rnacentral:rRNA from 1 species
UACAGAGGGUGCAAGCGUUAAUCGGAAUUACUGGGCGUAAAGCGUGCGUAGACGGUUAUUUAAGUCAGGUGUGAAAGCCCAGGGCUCAACCUUGGAAUUGCAUUGAGACUGAAUAGCUAGGGUGCGGAAGAGGGGGGUAGAAUUCCACGUGUAGCAGUGAAAGUGACGUAGAGAUGUGGAGGAAUACCGAUGGCGAAGGCAGCCCCCUGGGAUAACACUGACGCUCAUGCACGAAAGCGUGGGGAGCAACGAGG